rnacentral:lncRNA from 1 species
CCAUAUCAAAAAUCAAGAAAUCAAGAUUUGUGGUCUUCAGACGGGCCGCGUAAAGAUUCAGCAUAGUCUUACGCGGGCCACGUCAAUGUGGAGUUGACCGGAUAAGCGUCUAGAUCCACGUGUAACCCACGUGGCACACCUACUCAUGACCCAGCAAGCCUACACGUAGACUAGACCUCCUCGCGGGCCGCGUAAGGUUGGUCUUAGGGUUCACGCGAGCCGCGACAACCCCAGAAAUCAGCUAUAAAUAGUUUGGUCAUGAGCAGUUCGUCUGUGUUCGACAAAUUCUCUCAAAAUAAAGAUUUACUGCAUAAAAUCAUAUUUUCCAUUAAGGAGGCGCUGCCACGAUACAGGAUGAUGAGCUGAACAGAGAAAAAGCCAGGAUUUGAUUUCAAAGGCGAUAACUAAUUCCAGACAGAAAAUCUCGGCUUGAUGAAAGGGGGAGUCUGACGAGAUUAGAGCUUGAGAAAGAUCCAGGUACAUUAUUCCAGGAGAAUUCCUGAAGAAGGCCGAUCAAGAUUGAAGAGUCGUCAUGUUGAAGACUCUCACUGAAGAUUCUGUCAACAUUCAAGGGGGAGUCUGUUGGUGCAGUUGUCUGUCGACUUCAUCUUCGUUCGAGUCUUGUUCUAGAUAAGAUAAAUCAUGACACGGAAAAUGAGGAAAUAUGUGUUUAUGGGUAAUUCCGCUUGAAAUGACACAUGGUCAUUUCAAGCGAAAUCAAGUUGGUAUUUCCGCUUGAGUGGUGAUUUCACUUGAACAAGUGAUUCCGCUUGAGCAUGUUCAAGCGAAAUCACAUGCCUAUAAAUACCUCCUCAAGCGAAAUUAGUGUUAAUCUUCUUGUUUCCGAUGCCGAAGUGCUGUCGAAGUGUCUCCAAGUCUGUAAACGUGUUCUAAUCAAUACAAGAGACAGUUAAUAGUGAUU